rnacentral:rRNA from 1 species
CGCGUAGGCGGACCAUCAAGUCGGAUGUGAAACCCGGCGGCUUAACUGCCGGCCUGCAUACGAUACUGUUGGUCUUGAGUACAUGAGAGGAAAGCGGAAUUCCAGGUGUAGCGGUGAAAUGCGUAGAUAUCUGGAAGAACACCAGUAGCGAAGGCGGCUUUCUGGCGUGAUACUGACGCUCAAGCGCGAAGGCUAGGGGAGCAAACAGGAUUAGAUACCCUGGUAGUCC